rnacentral:rRNA from 1 species
CUACGGGUUGCUGCAGUGGGGAAUAUUGCACAAUGGAGGAAACUCUGAUGCAGCAACGCCGCGUGGAGGAUGACACUUUUCGGAGCGUAAACUCCUUUUAUAUAGGAAGAAGAUGACGGUACUAUAUGAAUAAGCGCCGGCUAACUCCGUGCCAGCAGCCGCGGUAAUACGGAGGGCGCAAGCGUUACUCGGAAUCACUGGGCGUAAAGAGCGUGUAGGCGGAUUAAAAAGUCAGAAGUGAAAUCCUAUAGCUUAACUAUAGAACUGCUUCUGAAACUCUUAAUCUAGAAUAUGGGAGAGGUAGAUGGAAUUUCUGGUGUAGGGGUAAAACCCGUAGAGAUCAGAAGGAAUACCGAUUGCGAAGGCGAUCUACUAGAACAUUAUUGACGCUGAGACGCGAAAGCGUGGGGAGCGAACAGGAUUAGAUACCCUCGUAGUC